rfam:Oryza barthii chromosome 2, whole genome shotgun sequence.
AAAAAGACAAACCCUGGAUAUUCGUGUCCAACUUUAACUAUUCGUCUUAUAUGAAAUUUUUUUAUAAUUUAUAUUUUCAUUGCUGUUUGAUGAUAAAACAUGAUUAAUACUUUAUGCGUGACUUGUCUUUUUAAUUUUUUCAUAAUUUUUAAAAAUAAGACGGACGGUCAAACGUGGAACAUGGAAACCAUGGUUUGUCUUUUU